ACGAACGCUGGCGGCGUGCUUAACACAUGCAAGUCGCACGGAAAGGCCUUUUCGGAGGUACUCGAGUGGCGAACGGGUGAGUAACACGUGGGUGAUCUGCCCUGCACUCUGGGAUAAGCCUGGGAAACUGGGUCUAAUACCGGAUAGGACCGCACUUUAGUGUGUGUGGUGGAAAGUUUUUUCGGUGUAGGAUGAGCCCGCGGCCUAUCAGCUUGUUGGUGGGGUAAUGGCCUACCAAGGCGGCGACGGGUAGCCGGACUGAGAGGUUGGUCGGCCACAUUGGGACUGAGAUACGGCCCAGACUCCUACGGGAGGCAGCAGUGGGGAAUAUUGCACAAUGGGCGCAAGCCUGAUGCAGCGACGCCGCGUGGGGGAUGACGGCCUUCGGGUUGUAAACUCCUUUCGCCAGGGACGAAGCGUUUUGUGACGGUACCUGGAGAAGAAGCACCGGCUAACUACGU
rnacentral:rRNA from 1 species